UGGGGAAUCUUGCGCAAUGGCCGAAAGGCUGACGCAGCGACGCCGCGUGAGGGAUGAAGGUCUUCGGAUCGUAAACCUCUGUUGCCCGGGACGAACAACACCUUUCGAGGUGUCUGACGGUACCGGGUGAGGAAGCACCGGCUAACUCUGUGCCAGCAGCCGCGGUAAUACAGAGGGUGCGAGCGUUGUCCGGAAUCACUGGGCGUAAAGGGCGCGUAGGCGGUCUGCUAAGCGUGUGGUGAAAGCUCGGGGCUCAACCCCGCGUCGGCCAUGCGAACUGGUGGACUGGAGCCUGUCAGAGGCAAGCGGAAUUCCGGGUGUAGCGGUGGAAUGCGUAGAGAUCCGGAAGAACACCGGUGGCGAAGGCGGCUUGCUGGGACAGUGCUGACGCUGAGGCGCGACAGCGUGGGGAGCAAACAG
rnacentral:rRNA from 1 species